UCCUGGUUAACCCAGGCAGUCUUCUUAGAGUGCCCAACUUAAUGCUGGCAACUAAGAACAGGGGUUGCGCUCGUUGCGAGACUUAACCCAACAUUUCACAACACGAGCUGACGACAGCCAUGCAGCGCCUGUCUCUACAUUCCCCGAAGGGCACUCCCACAUCUCUGCAGGAUUCGUAGGAUUUCAAACCCAGGUAAGGUUCUGCGCGUUGCUUCGAAUUAAACCACAUGAUCCACCGCUUGUGCGGGCCCCCGUCAAUUCCUUUGAGUUUUAGUCUUGCGACCGUACUCCCCAGGCGGAGCACUUAACGCGUUUGCUACGUCACGGCAGGGGUUAAUUCCCGCCACAACUAGUGCUCAUCGUUUACGGCGUGGACUAC
rnacentral:misc_RNA from 1 species